rnacentral:lncRNA from 10 species
UGCAGCUCUGUGUGUAUGUCUGCAGUGAUGCCGUACUGGAUCUGGUUCAUCUUGUGAGAACUAUACCUAUCUGAAUUUUUGAUGAUGCUCUUUUCUUAGUUCCCUUGGCAAAACAGGACUGGACCUCACUGUGGGAACAACAAGAUCAACAAGAGGAGCAAGAACAACAUCAAGAGUCAGGGCCCGGGGGUCCUGACGGGUACAGGACGGGUACAGACCCACACAGGAAUCCCAGAGUGUGUUCCACAGCAGGACACGCCUGCGCUGAAAGAGUGGGCAGAAAGGAGCUGACCUGGACCAAACCAAUGCACAACUCCUACGUACUGAUGGUGGUCUUACGUUUCCCUAAGUUUCUGCCGACUAAACUGUGCACACGUUCUCAGGACCUCCUGAAGCUGCGUCACAGGCGCUGAUCAAAGAACACAACCAAGAGUUUGGCCUUUUCUUCAGCACUGGGAAUUGUGAUCCAAAGCUUUUCCUGAUGAGGCACAAAGUUGGAGAAACAAAACGCAAACUAAGCAACAAUGAAACAGAACAGAGUGAAUCUGCUGUAGCUCAAGAGAGGACGUAGCUGCCCCCACCCCGCAUCCCUGGGCUCGGGUUUGCCUUGCUGACCUCUGCUGCCACCUGGU